GCCGGAGUGCUGGAAUGGUAGACAGUCGGGACUCAAAAUCCCGUGGGGUGAAAACCCCGUGAGGGUUCGACUCCCUCCUCCGGCA
rnacentral:tRNA from 1 species